AAUCCUGCACGACCCACCAAUUCUUAACGGAUUGGCAAGCGUUGAGUCGGAAAGGAUGAGAACCGUCAAGGUUCGAGUCGAGCGCAAGUGAGACAACAUCACGUAGUGAUGGCCCGAAGGGCAAGGCGCAAGCCGCGUCAUCCUGCACGA
rnacentral:sRNA from 1 species